AUGUGGUGUUUGACAGUCGUCAGAGCAUUCCAAGUUUUGCCUACCUUUUUCUCAGAUAUGUAUUCAGAGCUCUUAUCAAAAGACAGGGGCAUUUGUACUUUUGCGAUAGAGAUGUCGAAGGUGAAGUUGCCUUCACCAUCUUUAACUGCAGGUAAACUGAUUGCGCUUGACAAUGUAGCAGUCCAAUUUGUUUUAGUGCUAUGGUUUGAUUUUAUUAUAAUAAUUUCAAACAACACUGCCUUACAAAGAUGGUUGUUUAUUUGUUCACAUUUGGACCAAUUAUCUCCUAUGUGCUGUACUUUUUUCUCUCUAAGGUUCAACAAGGAUCUACUGAGGAGGUUCUGUAGUGCAGCUGGAUAUGGCUGGGACUACCCAGACAUUGAGUUCAGGGAUAUCCCUCUGUGUUACCCAGACACCCUCUGUCUGCGGAUGCUUGACAUAUUAAUAUCUGCUGAGAAGUUCAGAUUGAGCCCUCUGGGUCUAGUCCGGCUACGUCAGAGUUUGAGAACAUGGCAGCCAAUAGAUGAGCUGAAGAAGGGACCCUUCAAGUUGCAGGCUCGUGUGUUAGAGUACAGGGUUGUUGAAGAUGGGGUGGAGGUUGACAUUUCUUUAACUGCCAUUUCACACACUGACCAGCCAGUAUGGGAGAGUGUUUUGACAAUGCUCUCCCAGGACAGAGGCCGAACACCAAACACACAACCUAAACCUGAGUGGUAUGAUGGUCACAUGGACACAUCAGAGCCAGAUGACGUGAAGGCGGUAGAUAUCAAUGUUCCCUGGACUACAGGACUGACGUUUGUGUGGGCUUUCUCUGACUACUCUCCACGUUGUCUCCUAACUCUUCCUGCUAAACUCUUGGGCUGCAGAUGUACCCCAACUCCUAGUCUAUGGAUGCUGUCUAAAUGCUUGGCUGAAAUUGAAAAGCACAAAGGAGUUGAUGCCAUUAGAGCCCCCAUCUCUGUCACCGCCCAGUUCAAGGAACCAUUGUUGGUACCAGGAAAAGUGACCAUCAAAUUUUGUGAGAGUGCGGGAGUGCAGUCCAAAUGUGUUAGCUUCCAAAUGGAGCAAUACGAGAGGAAGAUACCUCACAUCACGGGACAAAUCUGCAGGACUACUGUAGAGGAUGUGAAUUAA
rnacentral:lncRNA from 1 species